rnacentral:lncRNA from 13 species
AUCACAGUCAGUUGUGUUUCUGUUGCAGCAUGUUUGCUUUGUUUGUUCAUUGUGCCGUCUUCAGGUGGAACGACCGUCUUCAGGUGGAACGACCGUCUUCAGGUGGAACGACCGUCUUCAGGUGGAACGACCGUCUUCAGGUGGAACGACCGUCUUCAGGUGGAACGACCGUCUUCAGGUGGAACGACCGUCUUCAGGUGGAACGACCGUCUUCAGGUGGAACGACCGUCUUCAGGUGGAACGACCGUCUUCAGGUGGAACGACCGUCUUCAGGUGGAACGACCGUCUUCAGGUGGAACGACCGUCUUCAGGUGGAACGACCGUCUUCAGGUGGAACGACCGUCUUCAGGUGGAACGACCGUCUUCAGGUGGAAUGACCAUCUUCAGGUGGAUUGACCGGCCCUCUCUGCGCCAAAUCAAAAACAACGAGGCCCUUGAUUCCAUUUUUGUACGAUUUCCGCUGUUACUUCAGGCUUGCUCGUGAAACGGUCUCAUGUGUCUCCUGCGAAAUCACCUGGGAUUUUUUCUUGUGUAUUUGUUUGCAUUGUUGAUUUAAUUUAAUUUGAUUGCAUUCAGUACUUACAAACUACCAAAUACACUCACAGAAGAUCUUGGCCCGUACUGAUCUAGGAUCAGGUCCCCACCUGUCUAUGUCAUCUCAUGUAUUAUGAUCAAACAGCCAAAACUGAUCCGUUGUCAGCACUCCAACUACCGAGUCUUUAUGAAUACAGGCCCUGGUCUCAUUAACACAGUGGUCAUAUUUAUACAGUAGUGACAUGGAAAUGGCGGGUUGUUGUCCUGUUUACACACUUUAACAAGUGUUUUUAAUGGAAACGCGUUUCUUCUAUAUCUCAUGGAUAUAGCAGACUGAUUAUGAUUUCUACCGCUUGGUAUUGGAAAAUCUCUUUCAUACAACCGCAACUGUCGUUUAAUUGAACUCGGGGAUGGUGCAUGUUUUGCUACCACCAAGGCCACUUAGAUCACAGAGACACAAUAGCUUGUGAUGUUAUCCUUCCGUGUGAAUCGCUUCCUGUGCAAAUCUGUAACUAAUUAAAGCUCGCUUUGCAAAGUUAACUGAGGCGGUAUGGUGUGUGUCUAUUUAAAAAUCUAACUGAACUAGAAAGCUCCUGCACCGGGGCCUCCCGAGUCUAAGGUACUGUAAAGCAGUGCUAGAGGAGUCACUAAAGACCUGGGUUUGAUCCCGGGUCUGUAUCACAGCCCGGAUGUGAUCGGGAGUACAAUAGGGCGGCACACAGUUGGCCCAGCGUCGUCCGGGUUAGGGGAGGGUUUGGCCGGGGUAGGGUUUUACUUGGCUCAUCGCGCUCUAGCGACUCCUUGUGGCGGACUCUGGCGCGUCCAGGCUGAUUCGGUCGUUAGGUGAACGGUGUUUCCUGCGGCUGGCUUCAGGAUUAAGCGAGCGGGUGUUAAGAAGCGUGGUUUGGCGUGUCGUGUUUCAUGACUCGACCUUCGCCUCCCGAGCCCGUUGGGGAGUUACAGCGAUGAGACAAGAUCGAAAUUGGGGAGAAAAAAAGAGGUAAAAUACAACAAAAAUGUAAAAAAAUAAACGAGUUUAGUAUAAAGGGAAUAGGGUGCCAUUUGGUACACAGCCGGAAACUUUUGCUACAAGCUGUCCUCUCCGGUCACAACAAAACUGCCGUGCCCCCAUGCCGGCCCCCACAGGACCUGGUGGCUCACAGACAAACUGUGUGUCUGUUUCUGUCUCUCCCUCCCCUAGCCAGACAGACGGACGGAUGGAGGAGCAGAGAGUAGACCCAGCGCCAAGAGACGGACAUGAGGCCUCUCCGUCUAUCUACUGGACAAAGACAGUAGACAUGAGGCCUCUCCGUCUAUCUACAGUACAAAGACAGGAGACAUGAGGCCUCUCCGUCUAUCUACAGGACAAAGACAGUAGACAUGAGGCCUCUCCGUCUAUCUACAGUACAAAGACAGGAGACAUGAGGCCUCUCCGUCUAUCUACAGUACAAAGACAGGAGACAUGAGGCCUCUCUGUCUAUCUACAGUACAAAGACAGGAGACAUGAGGCCUCUCCGUCUAUCUACAGUACAAAGACAGGAGACAUGAGGCCUCUCCGUCUAUAUACAGGAGACAUGAGGCUUCU